GAUGAACGCUGGCGGCGUGCCUAAUACAUGCAAGUCGAGCGAACAGACGAGGAGCUUGCUCCUCUGACGUUAGCGGCGCACGGGUGAGUAACACGUGGAUAACCUACCUAUAAGACUGGGAUAUCUUCGGAAAACCGGCGCUAAUACCGGAUAAUAUAUUGAACCGCGUGGUGCAAUAGUGAAAGUCGGCUUUGCUGUCACUUAUCGCUGGAUCCCGGCCGCAUUAGCUGGUUGUUAAGGUAACGGCUUUCCAAGGCAACGAUGCGUAGCCGACCGGUGAGAGGGAUAGCCCGCAUGGGAGCGUGGACGCGGACAAGGGUCCUGAGGGACGGCGCAGUAGGGAAUCGUCCGCAACGGGCGAAAGCUUGACGGAACAACGCGACGCGAGUGAUGACAGUCUUCGGAUCGUAAAACCCUGUUAUGAGUGAUGAACAGAUGUGGAAGUAACUAUGCACGUCGUGACGGUACCUAAUCAGAAAGCCACGGCUAACUACGUG
rnacentral:rRNA from 1 species